GACGAACGCUGGCGGCGUGCCUAAUACAUGCAAGUCGAGCGCAGUGGGGACGGUUGAUUAACACGUGGGUAACCUCCCAUCAGAGGGGAUAACACUUGGAAACAGGUGCUAAACCGAUACUGGAGGAUGGACUCGCGGGGGAUUAGCUAGUGGGUGGGGUAACGGCUCACCUAGGCCACGAUGCAUAGCGGGCCUGAGAGGGUGAUCGGCCACACUGGGACUGAGACACGGCCCAGACUCCUACGGGAGGCAGCAGUAGGGAAUAUUCGACAAUGGACGAAAGUCUGACGGAGCAACGCCGCGUGAGUGAAGAAGGUUUUCGGAUCGUAAAACUCUGUUGUUAGAGAAGCGGUAUCUAAAGAGGAAGCCACGGCUAACUACGUGCCAGCCGCCGCGGUAAUAC
rnacentral:rRNA from 1 species